rnacentral:sRNA from 1 species
UGAGUAAGGUAUACAAAAAGAUUGGAUC